AGCAAUCCCCCGGUAGGGUGGCGAACGGGUGAGUAAGACAUGGGAAUCUGUCCCGGAGAUGGGGAUAUCCUUCCGAAAGGAGGGUUAAUACCGAAUACCGUCCGGUGGACGAGAGUCCAUCGGGGAAAGGGAGGCCUCUGGCAACAUGCUUCCGCUCCGGGAGGAGCCCAUGGCCCAUCAGCUAGUUGGGAGGGUAACGGCCUACCAAGGCGAAGACGGGUAGCUGGUCUGAGAGGACGAUCAGCCACACUGGCACUGAGACACGGGCCAGACUCCUACGGGAGGCAGCAGUGAGGAAUUUUGCGCAAUGGGGGCAACCCUGACGCAGCAACGCCGCGUGGGAAGAAGGCUUUCGGGUUGUAAACCACUUUUGUAAGGGACGAAGUCCCUUCGGCAAAUAACCGAGGGGGAUGACGGUACCUUGCGAAUAAGCCACGGCUAACUCUGUGCCAGCAGCCGCGGUAAGACAGGGGUGGCAAGCGUUGUUCGGAGUAACUGGGCGUAAAGGGUCUGUAGGUGGUUUUUCAAGUCUUUGGUAAAACGCCGUGGCUCAACCAUGGUUUGGCCAAGGAGACUGGGAGACUCGAGGCUGGGAGAGGGAAGCGGAAUUUCUGGUGUAGCGGUGAAAUGCGUAGAGAUCAGAAAGAAGGCCGGUGGCGAAGGCGGCUUCCUGGAACAGACCUGACACUGAGAGACGAAAGCGUGGGGAGCAAACAGGAUUAGGUACCCUGGUAGUCCACGCCCUAAACGAUGGGAACUAAGUGUGGGGAGCAAUCCCCGUGCCGCAGCUAACGCAAUAAGUUCCCCGCCUGGGGAGUACGGCCGCAAGGUUGAAACUCAAAGGAAUUGACGGGGGCCCGCACAAGCGGUGGUGCAUGUGGUUUAAUUCGACG
rnacentral:rRNA from 1 species